rnacentral:rRNA from 1 species
GACGAACGCUGGCGGCGUGCCUAAUACAUGCAAGUUGAGCGCUGAAGGUUGGUACUUGUACCAACUGGAUGAGCAGCGAACGGGUGAGUAACGCGUGGGGAAUCUGCCUUUGAGCGGGGGACAACAUUUGGAAACGAAUGCUAAUACCGCAUAAAAACUUUAAACACAAGUUUUAAGUUUGAAAGAUGCAAUUACAUCACUCAAAGAUGAUCCCGCGUUGUAUUAGCUAGUUGGUGAGGUAAAGGCUCACCAAGGCGAUGAUACAUAGCCGACCUGAGAGGGUGAUCGGCCACAUUGGGACUGAGACACGGCCCAAACUCCUACGGGAGGCAGCAGUAGGGAAUCUUCGGCAAUGGACGAAAGUCUGACCGAGCAACGCCGCGUGAGUGAAGAAGGGUUUCGGAUCGUAAAACUCUGUUGGUAGAGAAGAACGUUGGUGAGAGUGGAAAGCUCAUCAAGUGACGGUAACUACACAGAAAGGGACGGCUAACUACGUG